CUCUGAACAGGUGAGACGGCACAUUGUUCCCUCUGAACAGGUGAGACGGCACAUUGUUCCCUCUGAACAGGUGAGACGGCACAUUGUUCCCUCUGAACAGGUGAGACGGCACAUUGUUCCCUCUGAACAGGUGAGACGGCACAUUGUUCCCUCUGAACAGGUGAGACGGCACAUUGUUCCCUCUGAACAGGUGAGACGGCACAUUGUUCCCUCUGAACAGGUGAGACGGCACAUUGUUCCCUCUGAACAGGUGAGACGGCACAUUGUUCCCUCUGAACAGGUGAGACGGCACAUUGUUCCCUCUGAACAGGUGAGACGGCACAUUGUUCCCUCUGAACAGGUGAGACGGCACAUUGUUCCCUCUGAACAGGUGAGACGGCACAUUGUUCCCUCUGAAUGUCGUCAAAUCAAAUGUUGAUAUCUCAUUUCAGCUGAUAUCUCAAAGUGCUGUACAGAAACCCAGCCUAAAACCCCCCAAACAGCAAGCAAUGCAGGUGUAGAAGCACGGUGGCUCGGAAAAACUCCCUAGAAAGGUCAAAACCUAGGAAGAAACCUAGAGAGGAACCAGGCUAUGAGGGGUGGCCAGUCCUCUUCUGGCUGUGUCGGGUGGAGAUUAUAACAGAACAUGGCCAAGAUGUUCAAAUGUUCAUAAAUGACCAGCAUGGUCAAAUAAUAAUAAUCACAGGCAGAACAGUUUAAACUGGAGCAGCAGCACGGCCAGGUGGACUGGGGACAGCAAGGAGUCAUCAUGCCAGUUAGUCCUGAGGCACGGUCCUAGGGCUCAGAUCCUCCUAGAGAGAGAGAAUUAGAGAGAGCAUACUUAAAUUCACACAGGACACCGGAUAGGGGAAAGGAAAGGAAAGGAAAGAUUUGUCCAUAGAAGAAGUGAAGAAAUUUCCACUUGAUGUGGUAGCUGAUGUUCAGAGGAUUUGUUUUAUAGCUGUUUGUUCCAGACUUAUACUGACUAGUGAUUGAUUAACAGGUUCCAGACUUAUACUGACUAGUGAUUGAUUAACAGGUUCCAGACUUAUACUGACCAGUGAUUGAUUAACAGGUUCCAGACUUAUACUGACUAGUGAUUGAUUAACAGGUUCCAGACUUAUACUGACCAGUGAUUGAUUAACAGGUUCCAGACUUAUACUGACCAGUGAUUGAUUAACAGGUUCCAGACUUAUACUGACUAGUGAUUGAUUAACAGGUUCCAGACUUAUACUGACCAGUGAUUGAUUAACAGGUUCCAGACUUAUACUGACUAGUGAUUGAUUAACAGGUUCCAGACUUAUACUGACUAGUGAUUGAUUAACAGGUUCCAGACUUAUACUGACUAGUGAUUGAUUAACAGGUUCCAGACUUAUACUGACUAGUGAUUGAUUAACAGGUUCCAGACUGAUUGUCGUUUGAUUGAUUGAUUGACAGGUGCCAGACUGAGGCUGUU